rnacentral:rRNA from 1 species
AGUCAACCUACCCUAUGGACGGGAAUAACCUCGGGAAACUGAGAAUAAUGCCCGAUAGAACAUUAUGCCUGGAAUGGUUUAUGUUCCAAAUGAUUCAUCGCCGUAGGAUGGGACUGCGGCCUAUCAGUUUGUUGGUGAGGUAAUGGCCCACCAAGACUAUUACAGGUACGGGCUCUGAGAGGAGUAGCCCGGAGAUGGGUACCGAGACACGGACCCAGGCCCUAUGGGGCGCAGCAGGCGAGAAAACUUUGCAAUGUGCGAAAGCACGACAAGGUUAAUCCGAGUGGUUUCUGCUAAAGGAACCUUUUGUCGGUCCUAGAAACACCGAUGAAUAAGGGGUGGGCAAGUUCUGGUGUCAGCCGCCGCGGUAAAACCAGCACCUCAAGUGGUCAGGAUGAUUAUUGGGCCUAAAGCAUCCGUAGCCUGCUUUGUAAGUUUUCGGUUAAAUCCAUGUGCUCAACACAUGGGCUGCCGGGAAUACUGCACAGCUAGGGAGUGGGAGAGGCAGACGGUACUUGAUAGGAAGGGGUAAAAUCCUUUGAUCUAUUGAUGACCACCUGUGGCGAAGGCGGUCUACCAGAACACGUCCGACGGUGAGGGAUGAAAGCUGGGGGAGCAAACCGGAUUAGAUACCCGGGUAGUCCCAGCUGUAAACUAUGCAAACUCAGUGAUGCAUUGGCUUGUGGCUAAUGCAGUGCU